UAUCCUGCCUUCUCAGUGCAAUGCCCGGCACCUAGGCCGAGUUCACGUGCGGGUUGUCGCGUUUCCAAUACCCCUGACGUUGUCUUCUCAGUGGUCGUUGGGUCUAGAAGUCACUCCUCUGGAGGUGAUAGACUAGGAGAAGCCGCCAGCCAGCAGCAUCACUGGCUGGCUGGGAGUUCCACCUCUUCCUUCCUUAAGACCUCAGUAAAUGGACAGCCACAGAUGUGCCUUUCAGAUCAUGUUUUAAAACCUUCCCCGUCUGGCGUUGGGAACGCAGCCGCGGCUUGGUGGUGGAUAGCAAGAGGCAAAGGGCCCGAGCUCCAGUUGAUGAAGUCACAUGGUUCCAGGGGCAGCAGCUGUUUCCCUGAAUACGAGGAUGGUGCUUUGAGACCAACCAGAAGUGAACUGUUUGUACAGAUUGAUGCUGCUGAAAUGCAAAGUGGAAACAUGUCAGGGGAAACAUGCACCCUGUCACCCCAGGAGAGAUGGCUCGGUGGUGAAUCAGACCCACAGGACAGUGGGGAACGCCAGGUGGGAGAGAAAAGCACAUGCCUGUAUACCCUGCUGUGGAAAGAACCAGAAAAGCUGAAAGAAAACCUGUGAGGCCAGAAGCUGGGAUGUGGGAAGGCUCGAGAAGGGUGCAGGAGGAACCAAACUGGUGUCAUGUGGAGGAGGCCAUGUGGCAGAGAUCCGUGGUGGCCUCUGGUUGCUGAGGGCCUCCGUCCCACAACUGCAAGGAACUAGGUUCUGCCAACACCCAGCAAGCCUGGGAGAGGAUGCCAGACUCCAGGGAGAUCACAGACCUGGCAACACCUUGAUCGUGGCUGUUGAAUCUCUGAGCAGAGGACAGAGCUGAGCCAUGCCUCUGUCCCACAGAAACGGUGAGAUCAUAAAUGGGCAUUGCUUUAUUCUGCUCUGCUGUUUAAACAUUUAUUUUUAUUUUUAAACGUUUUAUUGACAUAUAGUUGAUUUAUUAGAUUGUGAUCAUUUCUGCUAUACAAAAAGAGUGAUUUAAUUAUACAUGUACACACGUCCCUUCCCUUUCAGUUUCUUUUUCCACGUAGAUGACUAUAGAACAUUGGGUAGGAGUCUCUGUGCCAUACAGCAGGUCCCCGUUGGCCUGUCAUUCCAUAUAUCUUAGUGGACACACGCUAAUUCCCCAUCCCCAGUCUGUCCCUGCCUCCCCCCACCCUGUCCCUGUUGGUAAACCCUAAGUUUUUCAAACUCUAUGAGUCUGCUUCCGUUCUGCAAAUAAGUUCGAGAAGAUGUGAUACCUAUACACAAUGGAAUAUUGCUCAGCCAUACAAAAGCAUGAAUUAACACCAUUUGCAGCAACAUGGAUGGACCUAGAAAUUGUCAUACCAAGUGAAAUUCGGCAGUGAAAGACAAACAUCUUAUGAUAUCACUUAUAUGUGGAAUCUAAAAAAAGGACACAAAUGAAUUUACUCGGCUCUGUUGGUGGUCAUUUGUUUUGCAGCAAUAGACCGUUUACAUGGUCAGGGGCACUUUGCUGGUCAUUACUGUGUCCCCAUACCAGGCACAGGGCCUGUUGCAAGCAGAUAUUCGAUACAGGAUGUGUGGAGAAUGAGUAAGUGGAUGAAUGGAUGACAGCCAGCCAGGAACGCGUGGGAGCACUGCCCAACCAUGGGGUGUCGUGUGUGUCCUAGCCAGCUGUGGGGUCCCAGCUGCCUGCGAGCUCGGGGAGAGAGACCCUGGGGUGGGAUUCCUAAUAGAUACGGAUGUAACCGGAAGUCGCAUUUGGGUCCUGAAUGAGGGUCUGCAGCAGGCGUGACUUUCUCUGCGUUGGGAUUUAAAAGAUGCUCUGCUUCCCAAGCAUAUCACAAGAGGACCCCCCAGACGGACUUAGGGCUCUAGAGUUCCCUGAGCCCUAAGUGGUGGUGAAGGGCACUUUUGGACUCAAGGCUGUGGGGCUUGGGGGUGGGGGCGGGCCCCAGUGGCGCUGGAGUUGUUGGGCAGGGCUUGGCCUGCUGGCGGGAGCCCUGAG
rnacentral:lncRNA from 1 species